GACGAACGCUGGCGGCGUGCCUAAUACAUGCAAGUCGAGCGGACUGAAUGGGAGCUUGCUCUUGUUCGGUCAGCGGCGGACGGGUGAGUAACACGUGGGCAACCUGCCCGCAAGACCGGGAUAACUCCGGGAAACCGGAGCUAAUACCGGAUAACACCGAAGACCGCAUGGUCUUUGGUUGAAAGGCGGCGCAAGCUGCCACUUGCGGAUGGGCCCGCGGCGCAUUAGCUAGUUGGUGAGGUAACGGCUCACCAAGGCGACGAUGCGUAGCCGGCCUGAGAGGGUGACAGGCCACACUGGGACUGAGACACGGCCCAGACUCCUACGGGAGGCAGCAGUAGGGAAUCUUCCGCAAUGGGCGAAAGCCUGACGGAGCGACGCCGCGUGAGCGAAGAAGGCCUUCGGGUCGUAAAGCUCUGUUGUGAGGGACGAAGGAGCGCCGUUUGAAGAAGGCGGCGCGGUGACGGUACCUCACGAGGAAGCCCCGGCUAACUACGUG
rnacentral:rRNA from 1 species